rnacentral:rRNA from 1 species
GACGAACGCUGGCGGCGUGCCUAAUACAUGCAAGUCGAGCGGAAUGAAGAAGAAGCUUGCUUCUUCUGAUUUUAGCGGCGGACGGGUGAGUAACACGUGGGCAACCUACCUUGUAGAUUGGGAUAACUCCGGGAAACCGGGGCUAAUACCGAAUAAUCCAUUUUGCUUCAUGGCGAAAUGUUAAAAGGCGGCUUCGGCUGUCACUGCAAGAUGGGCCCGCGGCGCAUUAGCUAGUUGGUAAGGUAACGGCUUACCAAGGCGACGAUGCGUAGCCGACCUGAGAGGGUGAUCGGCCACACUGGGACUGAGACACGGCCCAGACUCCUACGGGAGGCAGCAGUAGGGAAUCUUCCACAAUGGACGAAAGUCUGAUGGAGCAACGCCGCGUGAGUGAAGAAGGUUUUCGGAUCGUAAAACUCUGUUGUUAGAGAAGAACAGGAGAAGUAGUAACUGGCUUCUUUUUGACGGUAUCUAACCAGAAAGCCACGGCUAACUACGUGCCAGCCGCCGCAGUAAGAC